rnacentral:rRNA from 1 species
UACGUAGGGGGCGAGCGUUGUCCGGAAUUAUUGGGCGUAAAGAGCGUGUAGGCGGCCAGGUAGGUCGGUUGUGAAAACUGGAGGCUCAACCUUCAGAGGUCGACCGAAACCAUCUGGCUAGAGUCCGGGAGAGGAGAGUGGAAUUCCUGGUGUAGCGGUGAAAUGCGCAGAUAUCAGGAAGAACACCCGUGGCGAAAGCGGCUCUCUGGAACGGUACUGACGCUGAGACGCGAAAGCGUGGGGAGCGAACAGG